AUUGAACGCUGGCGGCAGGCUUAACACAUGCAAGUCGAGCGGGGGAAGGUAGCUUGCUACUGGACCUAGCGGCGGACGGGUGAGUAAUGCUUAGGAAUCUGCCUAUUAGUGGGGGACAACAUCUCGAAAGGGAUGCUAAUACCGCAUACGUCCUACGGGAGAAAGCAGGGGAUCUUCGGACCUUGCGCUAAUAGAUGAGCCUAAGUCGGAUUAGCUAGUUGGUGGGGUAAAGGCCUACCAAGGCGACGAUCUGUAGCGGGUCUGAGAGGAUGAGCCGCCACACUGGGACUGAGACACGGCCCAGACUCCUACGGGAGGCAGCAGUGGGGAAUAUUGGACAAUGGGGGGAACCCUGAUCCAGCCAUGCCGCGUGUGUGAAGAAGGCCUUAUGGUUGUAAAGCACUUUAAGCGAGGAGGAGGCUACUCUAGUUAAUACCUAGGGAUAGUGGACGUUACUCGCAGAAUAAGCACCGGCUAACUCUGUGCCAGCCGCCGCGGUAA
rnacentral:rRNA from 1 species